UGCUGUUUAAAAUGAAUGGAUCUCUAUUUCAAGAUGGCAUGUCUAGUACACUUACGUGCACCGCCUCACAAGCACACUGAAAUGACAGAAAAGGUAAGAAAAUAGAUGCAUAGACAAAAGAUUACAGAGAAAGGUGCUAUUAACAAAUGUGUUAUGUUACAGUUUCUUGGAACUUCCCAAGCAGAUGGGAAUUAUGAAACCAAAAGAAAAAUGACAUUCAUAGAAGAAGAAAUAAAAUUUGCCAAUAAGGUUAUUAAUAGAUGUUUAACAUCACUAACUGGACAUACUGCCAGUUGAAACAAUGAUGGCUGGGUGCAGUGGCUCACACCUGUAAUUCCGGCACUUUGGGAGGCUGAGGCAGGAGGACUGUUUGAGCCCAAGAGUCUGAGACCAGCCUGGGCAACAUAGCGAAACCCUGUCUCUACAAAAAAUACAAAAAUUAGCUGGGUGUGGUGGUGUCUGCCUGUAGUCUUGGCUACUCAGGAGGCUAAGGUGGGAGGAUCACUUGAGCCCAGGAGGACAAGACUGCAGUGAGCCGUGACUGUGCCACUGCAUACCAGCUUGGGCAACAGAGCAGAGCUGUUUCAAAACAAAACAAAACAAAACAGAACAGAAGAACAGAACAGAACAGAACAGGACACAAUGAGAACAUUUUUCAUCCAUCCAAUUGGCAAAUAAUUUCUAGAGCUGGUGAGAAGAUGGGGAAAUUGGAAUGUUUGGUCCCCGCUGGUGGGUGUGUUGUUGGUACAGCAUUUUUGGAUGGCAAUUUGGCAGUAUCAAGAUUUUAGGUGAAUAUACUCUUAGACCUAACAACUUCUUCUUAGAACGAACCUACAAAAAAUAGACAAGGAUAAGUGCAACGAUGUUCACUGUGGCGUGGGUUAGUAACAAUAAAACCUCCUAAACAUCUGCCAAAGGAAUAAUGGUUAAAUAAGGUAUGGCACGUGCAGUCUGUGGAAUUCCAGGCAGUUAUUAUAGACAAUGAGCUGGAUCCAUGUGAACUGAUGGGGAAGGAUGUUCCCACUACAGAAUAUAAGCACAUGAGGGCAGGGUUUUGCAUUUGCUUCCUCCUGUCUCCCUAAUGCCUAGAACAGUGUCAGACACAUAGUGCAUGCUCAGAAAGUAUUUGUCAAAUGAAUGGAUACACUUUCUAGGACACUAUGAAUUAGGACAAUGGACUGAAAAAUAAGCAGAAAAUUUAAACACACCAGUGACCACAGUGCAACUGCAACUGACGAUCAGUUUCCACCAAACUGCAACAGAGAGAGUGGCUUUGCCGGUGAGUUCUGUCAAACUACUGUGUUAUUUAAACAUUAUUUGGCCUUACAACUAAGGUGAGGCCCUUGGGCCUCUACUGAAGGCCCAAUGUGUUCAACAAGGGCUCUCCAUGCUGCCUAAGGGAACACAUCUGAUUUGCAGCCCUGAAUGAACUCUGGGACUCAUUCAUCAUGCAUGUACUUUCCUCAGAAGUUGCUCUUACCCAGCCUUGCGGGGCUGCAGCCAGAUCUCCCACGAGUGGUAAUGUAACAUGAAAACAAUGAGCCACAUCUUCAAAAUUCCAAAGGAAAAUGACCCUCAACCUAGAGUUUCCUAUCUAGGCAAGUAUUAAUCAAGUGUAAGGGCAGAAUAAUGACACUUCCAGAUGAGAGGUAUACAAAUUUACCUUACCUGCACCCAUUUACAAGAAGCUAGUGAAGGUUGUGCUCUUUAAAACAUGAUGGAAUUUACCAAGAAAGAGGAGGACUUGGCUUAGGAAAGAGAAGAUCCAGUAGAGAAGGGGAGUGACAGGAAUCUGCAGGAAAUGAUGAAGGGCAAUCCCAGGAUGUUAGCUGCACACCAGAGAUGAGGAGACAGACUAGGACCCCUGCUCCAUUAGACCUCCAGGUCCCAAACACCAGGUGAGCCAGGGCCUUGGCCUGUCUUGCCCAUGGCUGAUGAAGUGUUGUACUCUCUAUCAAACCCUGCAGUCUGGGCCAGCUGAGGACUCUCCUUGGAACCCAAAGAAGCAGUUUGUUUCCACCUACUCCCAAGAGCUGAAGAUUAUAAGCCAGAAGCAAACAAAGGCAGGCAAGGAAAUUUGAGGUUGUUGCAUCUGGAAGUAAACAUGUAGCUACUUCUUCUAAUAAAACAGAGGAUGCCAUCUCCACUGAGACAGAAGAUAGGGAUGAGGAAAAAGUCUGCAAGUCUAAGAGACAACCUAGCAUAAGACUGUUUUGAGUUAGAAGAGACUGAGACAAGCUUUUAUCCAUUUCUUCUUGUCCAACUGCCAUCCUCAUCCCUAAUUUGUGGGACUGGGGCUCAUAAGGAAGUAUGGCUUAGUUACAGAAAAUAAAGAACAUGACAUAUUUUUGUACCUGAAUUGUACAGUGUAAAUUUUCUACUCAUUUGAAUCAUAAAAUUAGUUUAUUAUCAGAGGUACACAAAGGGAUAAAACAUGAGAAUAUUAAUCUUUUCUAGAAUUUAAGUUUCUGGAGGCAAAAAUGUUAACAGUUCAUCUCUCUUUUCUUAUU
rnacentral:lncRNA from 1 species